UUCUAAGGCCUCAGGGUACAUGCUCAGCUGCUUUCUAAUGAUAUCUUCCUCAUCUUGCCUCCAGGAUUAUGCAGUGAACUACUGGAAGAGCCAAGGUGCCCCUGCUGAGAAGCUGAUGGAGCCACUGAGGUGUGGAAUGCCCCCCAGGAGAUGCCUUAUGCCUACAAGGGGAAUCAGUGGAUCAAGUAUGACAACCCCAGGAGCUUCGCCCUCAAGGUUGCAGAGUACCCACCUCUACCCUGGGCACCAGCUUGGCCCCCAUCGUCACUGCAGCACCUGGGGGUGGCAGUGGAUUCUGUGCGGGGAAGUCCAGGGGUCUGUAUCCUAGCCCCACCAGCAAGCAUGCCUUCUAAAACUGCAUGGGUGGGCACACAUAUGAGGAGGCUUGUCAGGAAGGCCUGGUCUUUUAUACCAGCUGCUCUGGCAGUAACUGUACAUAAGCUAUUCACCUGUAGGGUCCCUUGGGGAUUGUAAGACAAAGGGAUGAUUAAAGGGAAGUUUUGCAUGUGAAUGCCAAGUUGUCUGUUUUGAUUUAUAAAACUGUGUGAUACUAUCCAGCAAAUAAAAGAAAACUUACUGCCACCCCAUAAUCCCAGUUGUCCACGAGCUCCCAGGAGGUGGCCAAACAUUGAGGCUGAGAGAGAAGGAGAAACAGGUACCUGGGACCUAUCUGA
rnacentral:lncRNA from 1 species